GUUCCUCUGAAGAAGUGUUGUUUCUCUGCUCUCAAUCAAGCAAAGACGCAUAAAAAAAGUGCUGGUGUUGCAGUGAGGCUUCACAACGAGAGACACGGGCUGCUUUAAUACGAAUCCUGUGGCUCUCGGGACGAUGAAGAACACCUUUGUCUGUGAUGAAUCCAUGAUCAUCACCAUUCCUGUUGGACCAUCUUGACGGUCUCUAGUUUUUAUCAAUGAUCGCUUCAAGGUCCUUGUCAUCAAGGGGAAAGCUCAGCCACUCGGAGCAGCCCAAGCUGUCUUUGGUCUGCUUCUUUGUGCUCUUGCACUGGUUUUCUAUGAUACAUAUUUUUGGAUCUUUACAAUUCCAAGCAUUGUGUUUGUGAUCUGUGGCGGGUUGUCCUUUGCCGCUGGGAAAUGUCCAAACAUGAUUGUGGCAAAGCUGUCAUUUUCCCUGAACAUUCUGAGUUUAUGUUGGUCAAUUACAUCAUUUGUUUUGAAUCUGAUAAUCUUGAUCGAACAUUACUGGUACCCCUCAUAUUAUCCAUAUUAUAGGAGAAAUGAAGAAAUCCUAGCUCUGAUAUUGAGUCUGCUGGUUAUUGAAUUUUUCAUCUGCAUUUUCCUGAUCUACUGGUUGAGUAAAGCCAUUUGCAGACAACACUUUAAUAUGCUGCCGACUAUAGUGCUGAAACGAGGAAACUGAUAUUUGAAGAUCGGAGAGAAUCAAGAGUCAACAUCGUGUAUGCUGUACUUUGCUUGUAAAACUCAGCAAUUGUUUUCAUGUCAGAUUUCAUUUUAUGCACAGCGGUAAGGAGGUCGACUCUUGAUCAAAGCAUUGCAGGUUUGACUCCUGCCUUACCGGCCCAUGUGUCGAAGUGUCCUUGGGCAAGACACUGAACCCCAAAUUGUCUCUGGUUGAAGGUCGGCGCCAGUGUUCGGCAGCGGAGCAACCAUCAGUGUGUGAAUGUGUCUAAGACUGUAAAGCGCUUUGGGCCUUCAAAGAAAGGUAGAAACGUGCUAAAUAAGUAUACACCAUAUUACUGUAAAAUACCCACAGAGAUAGAAUCUGUUGUUUAUAGGACACUUUUUGAUUCAGCAGUGAGAUCAAUAAAGUUUACAUCUAAUCUCAUCUCCUCUGAGGAGAAUUUUGUCUUUACCUUGUUGCAAAACUUUUACUUCAUUGCUUAAAACUGCAAGUUGUCAAGAAAAGACAACUUUAAAGUGAAAAGUGACAUGAAAAGGAAAAAGGCAGGAUCUCAAGUGUGUCUGAGCAGCUCCUGGUAGGAAUCCAUGUUUUUAUCUGUAUACGUCAUUGUCAUUUUUUCACUAACUAAAUAAUGAUUAAAUUGGUCUAGAUUUUUCCUAUAUUUGGAAACUGUUAUUUUUGUCAAUAAUUGAUUCAACAGACUUGACAUAACAUUUCAGUGAGUCUGAUCAUUUAAAACUUUUUAUGUUGAUGAAAAUAAUUUCCCAUUUAUUUCUGCCUUUAAGAGUAAGAAAACUAUGGUGAUAAUAUCCUAAUGUUGAUAAAAUCCGUCCAAACAAUCAUCAACUUAAGGUUCGAUAUGUCAGACUGCUUUGAGAAUUCAAUUUAUAUCAUUUUGAAGCAACAUUAAUUCAAUUCAUAUACUAUAAUCUGGUUUUUAAGAUUUUAAUUUAAUCAAAUGUGUCAGGGAUGGUGGUGGAGGACCCAAAUGCAGGAGACCAGACUUGGUGGCAGAAACAUAAAAGUUUACUGAAUCAACUAAAACAUGACAAAACCAGGAGGACAGAACAUAGAAGAGCAGAUGACCUGACAAUGAGAAACUGAAAACCAGACACUUAAAUACACUGAGGUUGAUUAACUAAAUGAAGACAGCUGUGGAUGGUUAACCUGAACAUGGGGAAAAUGACAGGUAAAACAGAAGAUGACAAAACCUAAGCACAGAAUCAUGACAAAAUGAACCUGUAUUAUCGAUAAAAUACUUAAUAUGGAAUUAAUUACAACAGGAUCUGUGUUGGUGAAGCAAAAAUUUGAUCUGGGUCUAUAUGCUAAACUUUACUUCAGUAAAUGUCACUUAACAAAACUCUUUUAAAUUCACUGAAUUAUAAUAGAAGCACAACUAUUUCUGUCUUAGUUAAGUAACAAAUACUUGAACGUGUGGAUAGCACUUGCUUCUUAUACUUCUUAUACGGUGCAAAAUGUUCGUGAUGUUUGUGUGCACUUGCAUCACUCUGGGAGAUAAGGCUUUUUAAACUUAAACAAAAAAGUUGCUGACAUGAAAGGAGGAAGUUCUGAAAACUUAAUUUAUGUACAAAGUAAAUAGUAAAUUCUUCAAUAAAGAU
ensembl:lncRNA